AUUUGGAGUCACAAGGACAAGGGAGCAGAAUCAGCUCUGCCGUCUAUGAACUGAUUUUGAAGAAAGAAAUUCACCUCUCUGAGUCUCAGUUGCUUGAUCUGUUAAAUAGAAAUGGAUCCUAUUAACACAUAGUAGGAAAAUAAACAAGUUACAAUGGUGAUUAAGGGUCUCAAACCAGGAAGACAGGAGACAAAUCAGAUCAUAUUACAGAUCGCCCCCAUUACCUUUCCAGUCCUUUAUGAAGCAACAUUUCUUCUAGUGAGACAUGAUGUGAAGUGGAAAACAGAGAGCCUCAGGAGCCUGGUGAUAAUGGAGCACAUGAGCCAUCAGCUUGUCUCUCCUGCUUUCUUCAGCAUCCUGUCUUUUGGGCUGUUACAAUCUGAUUCUAAACUUUAUGAUUUUGGCCUUUUUUGAGGAAUAAUAAAGCCCGGCCUUUGAGAACUG
rnacentral:lncRNA from 1 species